AUGCAAGUCGAGGGGCAGCGGAUGUAGCAAUACAUUGCCGGCGACCGGCGGAUGGGUGCGUAACGCGUAUGCAACCUACCUAUACAGGGGAAUAACCUUUCGAAAGGGAGACUAACACCCCAUGGUAUUGAUUUAAGGCAUCUUAGAUUAAUUAAAUAUUUAUAGGUAUAAGAUGGGCAUGCGUAUGAUUAGCUAGUUGGUAAGGUAACGGCUUACCAAGGCGACGAUCAUUAGGGGUUCUGAGAGGAAGGUCCCCCACACUGGUACUGAGACACGGACCAGACUCCUACGGGAGGCAGCAGUGAGGAAUAUUGGUCAAUGGGCGCAAGCCUGAACCAGCCAUGCCGCGUGCAAGGAAGACGGCCUUAUGGGUUGUAAACUGCUUUUACAUAAGACUAACCGUAUAUUUGCGAAUAUACCUGAAUGUAUUAUGAGAAUAAGGAUCGGCUAACUCCGUGCCAGCCGCCGC
rnacentral:rRNA from 1 species